rnacentral:lncRNA from 1 species
GUAGGCCUUGAUAAGUUGGUACCUGUACACUUUUUACUAAAUUAUUUGGUUAGGACUUGUUUCCUGCUACAUCCUAACUAGAUUUGAAUUGGCUUUGUCUUGUUAGCUUCUGAAACUUUUCUUCGCUCAGCCAAUGCACACUAGUCUUGAAGGCUUUGAAUGCUUGGACUAAAGUUUCUCUUUCACAUUGUUCAUGUUUGUCGAUUGAAAAUGGUAGGCUUGUCGGUAACCCAAUUUGUCAUGGUUUUGUCGAUUGAAAACAGAGAGUAGCUUACUCGUCCUGAUUUGUUUUGUGAAUUUGGUGUCUUCUGAGAUGAAUAUCCCUAAGGCCCCGUUUGGAUCAUUGGAAUUGAAUUCCAUCCUAAUAAUCAUAAUUUAGACACAAAUUAAUUAAGCUAAUAUAAUUGUAUGUGGAAUAUAGUUGUAUAUUAUAGUUGGUGAUAUGGGAGAGAUACUUAUAUGCUGCACUUCUACUAUAGAGAAGCGAGUCCAAGAGCGUGCUAUAAGAAUUGAAUUCCAUUCUAAUAACCAUAAUCUAUAGAAUCAAUUUCCAUCUCCCACCCUAUGAAUUUAAGAUAGGCUUAUAUCUAAACUUUGGAAAGUUGUGGAAUGCCACAUUCCAACAUAAAUUAGCCUACUCCAUUAAAUAGAUUCCAAUUCCUUCAAAAUGAAGGAACCCAAACGGGACCUAAGGGCUUGUGUGGAUAGAAGAGGAUUGGACUGGAACGAAGGGAAUUGAGUUAAAAAUGAACUAAUUUCCCCCUCCAAUCCCUUCCAUUCCACUUCAAUCCACUACUACCCGAACAAGCCUUAAUGGACUUUAUACCUUCGACUGCAAACUAUAACUCAGUUAUCCUCAGCGCGAUAAACUGUCUAGCUGUUAUAAAUUCUUAUAGCCAUUUCAUUGUGGCGCCAAGAAGCACAGUG